CGUCUAGCUUUGGGGGCUUGAGUCCAGCCCUGUGGGUCCCCGGUGCCUCCCGGGGGUUCUCCUCGUCUGCCUUGGGGGUUGUGUCCAGCCCCAGGCGUCCUGACCACCGCCCAGGGGCCCCCAUGUCUGCCUGGGGGCCUCAAAUCCAGUCCUGGGGGUCCCGGACGCCUCCCAGGGGUCCUCAUAUCUGCCGUGGGCCUCCAGUCCAGCCGUGAGGGUCCCGAAUGCUGCCUUGGAGGGUGGAGUCCAGCUCUGAGGGUCCUGAAGUCAGCUUUGGGGGUUCGAACCCAUCCAUCCCAGGGGUCCCUGAGUCUACAUUAGGGGCUGGAGUCCAGCCUUGAGGGUCUCCACUGCUGCCUUGGGGGCCUGGAUGGGAUCCAGCGGGUCUGAGUCCAGCCUCGGGAGCCCCUGCGGUGGAGCUCUUAGUGGGGCAGGGGCCUGGGAGAUGCCAGGAGGAUGAGAGCGGCGCCCCCCUGGUCCAGGGGACAGUAAGAGGCAGCCGGUCUCAGAGAAGCUCCCCCACAAACUGUUACCCGUGGUGUGCAGAGCGUCCUGCAACCCCAGCCCUCACCAGGAUUUCUUGCGUUUUUCAGGAAAUCGGUUGUGAUUGGCAUGUUCCUUAAGCGUCUGCAGGAAGCCGUGGCCUUUUUGGUAUUUCAGGAGGGGUUGCUAACCCCCCUCCUUGUAGGAUCGGGGUAUCCCAGCUGCUAAUUCCCGUCCUAACAGCCCUGCAGUGCCUGGAUUGGAGGUGUGACAGGUAGCAUUUUCGGCCCGAAGUCCCUAGGCAGGACAGGUGGCUGUAGCCUGCGCGUUCGUGUAAAUUAACCUCCCUUUUUAGUUCUGUGAAGGGAGAACGCGAUUAGUUUAAAAUCACCCACGUGAAAGGGGUUCUUGAUUAGCUUAAAAUCACCUGGGUGUUUCGUUUUCUCUCAGUUGGCCUCUGAAUGUUUAUCCUACAGCUUCCUGCAAGCUCCAGUCUACCUUCUAAGGGAAUAACGGGGCUCGCCUUUCUACGUUACUUUACGUGGGAGUAGUUGUAAAACAGAAUGGGAGAGAACGCGGGGAUUGUGCAAUAAUGUAGCCACCGUUUGCAUGUUGGGAGGCUGAGGUGGGAGGAUCGCUUGAGCCCAGGAGUUUGACACCAGCCUGGGCAACAUGGUAAGACCCCUUCUGUACCCCCCCAAAAAAAAAAUUUUAGCUGGGCGUGGUGGUGGGUGCCUGUGGUCCCAGCUACUCGGGAGGCUGAGGUGGGAGGAUCGCUUGAGCCCAGGAGUUUGACACCAGCCUGGGCAACAUGUCUGGCGUGGUGGUCGGUGCCUGUGGUCCCAGCUACUCGGGACGCUGAGGUGGGAGGAUCGCUUGAGCCCAGGAGUUUGACACCAGCCUGGGCAACAUGUCUGGCGUGGUGGUCGGUGCCUGUGGUCCCAGCUACUCGGGACGCUGAGGUGGGAGGAUUGCUUGAGCCCAGGAGUUUGACACCAGCAUGGGCAACAUGGUAAGAACCUGUAUCUCCAAAAAAAUAGCCAGGCAUCAUGGUGGGUGCCUGUGGUCCCAGCUACUCGGGAGGCUGAGGUGGGAGGAUUGCUUGAGCCCGGGAGUUUGACACCAGCAUGGGCAACAUGGUAAGAACCCAUAUCUACAAAAAAAAAAAAAAAAAAGAAUUAGCCGGGUGUGGUGUGUGGGUGCCUGUGGUCCCAGCUACACCAUGAGUGGAAUUGUGACGUGCACAGCCUGGGUAAAUGGGGUUAGCUAUAUUCAGCCUUAAGGGGGCACAUACCCUAUUAUUUCUAACACCACUGAACUCAGAAUCGGGACCCAGAUUCGCCGGGGCAGCGCGGGACGGAGGCCUCUCCUGGGCUCCGUCUUCCCUGUUAAUAGACUGAGAGACGGAAUGAGGGCGUCCCCAGGUGGUGAGCUCGGGGACGUGUGUGUAGCCAUGAUUAUCCUUUAGUACCUGGUCCCCGUGCCCUCCGAGCCAUCCAAGGGCUUCAGGAGGCCGCGCAGGAGGAGGGUCCGUAAGCGAUUCCACGGACCACCACGCAGGCCCUGACCCCGCCAGGGGCCCUUUGGAGGGUGAGCCCUGCGUGUUGGGGGGAUGAUGGCUCCGGAGGGUGAGCUCUGGGAUGAGAGGGGACGUGCAGGUGGCCGCAUUGCAGGCACAGCUGGCUCGGGACCUGGGCGCCACCUGGCGUCGACUCAGCUCGCUCCUGAGCUGUGCCUCUUCCUUGUCUUACGUUGGGGAUAAAAAGCCAUAGAUGGCCGGGCGCGGUGGCUCAGGCCUGUCAUCCCAGCACUGUGGGAUACCAAUGCAGGAGGGUUGCCUCAGCCCAGGGGUUCGAGACCAGCCUGGCCAGCAUAGCGAGACCCUCUUCUCUGUAACAAUUUUUUUUUUCUUUUUUCUUUCAUUUGAAACGGUCUCGGUCUGUCACCCAGGCUGGAGUGCAAUGGCGCGAUCUCGGCUCAGCGCAACGUCCGCCUCCCGGAUUUAAGUGAUUCUCCUGCCUCAGCCUCCUGAGUAGCUGGGAUUACAGGUGUGCACCACUGUGCCCGGCUAAUAUUGUAUUUUUAGUAGAGACGGGGUUUCACCAUGUUGGCCAGGCUGGUCUUGAACUCCUGACCUCAGGGGAUCCACCCGCCUCCGCCUCCCAAAGUGCUGGGAUGACAGGUGUGAGCCACCGUGCCUGGCCCUGAGAAACUUAAAAAUUAGCCGGGCCUGGUGGUGGGGCACCUGUCCUUCCAGCUGCUAGGGAGGCUGAGGCAGGAGGAUCUCCUGAGUCUAGGAGGCUAACGCUGCUGUGAGCUGUGAUUGCACCCCUGCACUGGCAGCUGGGGCAACAGAGUGAGACCCUCUGUCUAAAAACCUCAUAGGAACGGAUGUUUCCAGGGUGCGUGGUCUGUGUUGGGAGCUUCUCGCUGGACAUAGAUCUCUGCUGCUUUCCUUUUUUUUUUUUUUUUUGAGAUGGAGUUUCGCUCCUGUUGCCCAGGCUGGAGUGCAAUGGCGCGAUCUCAGCUCACCGCAACCUCCGCCUCCUGGGUUCAAGCGAUUUUCCCGGGUUCAAACGAUUCUCCUGCCUCAGCCUUCCUGAGUAGCUGGGAUUACAGGUGUGCACCACCAUGCCCGGCUAAUUUUUAUUUUUAGUAGAGACGGGGUUUCUCCAUGUUGGUCAGGCUGGUCUUGAACUCCCGACGUCAGGUGAUCCACCCGCCUCGGCCUCCCAGAGUGCUGGGAUGACAGGCGUGAGCCACCGCGCCCGGCUUCUUUCAGGUUUUUAUAUGUAACUUUGCCGCUCAGUCGGUACUGAAGCCGUUAUGUGGAGGCCUGCCUGGUGAGAUGUGGCCGCCACAGUGUGGCUGGUAUUCGAAACACACAGGAGGCCGCAGCCAGCUUAGCAGAAACACCAGGGCUUUCGGAACUUGGUUUUGAGAGUUUCCUGUUUUCUUGACUUUCAUAUACCAUUGAUGUAAUGACUGUUGGUGGGGAAAAAGCUAUUAAAGAUUCCUGUGGAUGGUGAGAUGACCUUGGUUUCAGAAACACCGAGACAUAGAGAAUUGCGCAUUUUAGAAUCCAGUAAAUCUACGCUGGGCACGGUGGCUCAUGCCUGUCAUCCCAGCACUUUGGGAGGCCGAGGUAGGUGGAUCACCUGAGGUCAGGAGUUCGAGACCAACCUGGCCAACAUAGUGAGAACCUGUCUCUACUAAAAAUACAAAAAAUUAGCCGGGCGUGCUGGCAGGUGCCUGUAAUCCCAGCUGCUCUGGAAGCUGAGGUGGGAGAAUUGCUUGAACCCGGGAGGCAGAGGUUGCAGUGAGCUGAGACCAUGCCGCUGUACUCCAGCCUGGGUGA